CCACAAGUACAAUAUGAUAAGAGUAUUAGGCUGUAGAGAUUGUAUGGACAGAAAUCUGAUCAGAUAUUAACAUUGAAUCAUUCAAAUAUACUUCCAAUACACAAAACCUUCAAGAGUUACUGGUUUAUGAUCACAUAUUAUUGACCUAAAUGGAUUUCUUUACAUUACUCUUAACUAAAAUCUGAUUCUCACUGAACUAAAGAGAAUGUCUUAUUAUUCAAAUGUUAUUUUUUUUGUUUCAAUGAGAAGACAUCUGUAAAUGAGGAUACUAUAUUUAUAUUGCACAAAUUAAGCAGGUAAAAGUCAGAACUCCAUCAAUUAUAUCUGUUUCCCUGGUGAAUGUACUAUUGCCUUCAGUAUUUAUUUUUAUCUAUUGUUUAUCCUUCAAGGGGGAAAAAUUGUCUAUGGAAAUAAAAACUAACAUAAGUGUACCAGCUGUACAUUAAAUAUUGAUUAAUACACAAAUACACAUUUCCAACAAUGUUUUUAAAAAGGAAAUAGCAGCAAAUUUUAUCAUUUAAUUUUUUUGUAUAUUUUAUGAUCAAUUUCAUACAAAAUGUUAUGAUUUUCCAUUAUUAUUUUAUCAUAAUAAUCUGCAUCAUCUGCCCUAAACAUCACAAAGUCUGAAAGGGGUAUUUUGUUUUAAAAUUUUUUCCUAAUGUUUGUAAUCUUAAUAUAUAAUUGUUGAAACUUUUUUUGACAUUUUCACUUUCUUGAAAUCAAAAGUUGUCACUGCUGUAUAUAUAUAUAUAUAAAUAAAUAUAUAUAUCAAUAAUUAUAUAUUGUUUAACUGUUGAAUAAUAUCUUUUUUCCAUUUUAAGUCUGUCUUCUAUUAAUAAAUAAAUAUGAUAAAUC